rnacentral:lncRNA from 1 species
AAAAUAAUCCUGCCAAUUUUAUUUUUGGCAAUCGUUCACCCUACCUUUUAAAGGCGGUGAAUCGUUUACUGCAUUCAUUAAGGCGGUUAAUAAUUCACCGUCUUUAUUAGAAUUUAUAUAAGAAAUAGGAAAAAGUGAGAUUAUUAUACAUGGAUUAUUAGAAUUUUUAUUUGAUUGUUAGGAUUGUAUAGAUAUUUUAUUAGAAUUUUCAGAUUGUUAAAAUUAUAUGUGAUUUGUUGAAAUUUUUAUGUGGUUGUUAAAAUUAUAUAUAAGAUAUAAAAAGAAACACUAAAUAAGCUAGAGACGGUGAAUGAUUCACUAUUUUUGUGAAAAAAUUAGGAAGGCGGUGAAUCGUUAACCGUCUUUAUGUAGGCGGUGAAUCGCUCAUCAUCUAGAAAAUUCCAACGUGCCUCGUACAUGGCAAACGAAGGGUUAGUUUG